CUCUCUCUCUCUCUCUCUCUCUACACACUGACACACCCAGAGAGACCACUUCGCAGAUCUCUUCGUCUUUGGAGCUCAACAACGUAGCCGGCGGGUCUGCGGUGGUCACGAAAGUUGCCGACAGGAGGAACCACAUCCAGAAUUUGAUGAAUGGUUGCUACAUCAUCUAGUGCCGUACGGGUGGCUUUGUCCUACUGCGUACAGCAAGUACGAAAUUAUGACUACCAUCACUAUCUCUGCCUUCUUGAACUUCCCCCACACAUAAAGGUCUUCACCUGAUUUAAUUAAUCUAAUUCAGUAUAAUGGCUUCCAAUAUUUGCUUUAUUGAGAUCAAAUUAUAUAUUAGAGUUUGUAACACCAGGCACCAGCAAUUAAAGUUAUUGAAAUAGAGUUUCAAUUUUUGGACUA